rnacentral:rRNA from 1 species
AUGGCCACCGCCACCACUUCCUCCUCCUCGUCCACCCCCAAGAACCCUAACCCUUUCAAUCUGCCUCCAUGGCUUCGCUGCCCCCUCACCUUCCUCUGCCCGCCCCCUCCCUCUCCCCCGCCGCCCCCUCCCCCGCCUACCCCACCACCCCCGCCCCCGGAGCCGACGGUGGUGGCUCCAGCGCAGCGGUACAGGAGGCCGGGGCUGCGGGUGACCACGGAGUACGACAGCGAGGAGGCCUUGUUUGCGCACAAGGUGUCGUGCAAGCUCGCGGGGGGUCUCGCCAAGUUGCGGCUGUCGUUCCAGAGCGACCAGCAGGGCCGCGGAGAGGACCCGCGGCAGCUCUUCGGGGCGCCGGUGCUGUCGUUCUUCACCAAGCACUUCUCCGCGAUGUAUGACGUUGAGGGCCGCAACGCGCUGCUCCGUGGUAACGCUUCGCUCCCCGGUGGCGCCGUCCAGCUUCGCGCCUCGCACGAUGUCAAGGAGCAAGAAGGAGAAGUUUCAGUAAUAACUAGGUUGGGUGACCCGUCUUAUAGACUUGAGAUAUCAUCUUUGGUCCCUUACAGUGGUUUGCCAAGAGCAACACUCCACUUUCCAAUUGGUCAAGUUUCAGUGGAAGAGAGGACAAAUGAAGAAGACCAAAAAAUGUUGUCAGUGUAUGGGAUUGCGAAAACUGAUUUUUUAGAUGGCAUUCUUACUGCUCAAUACAAUGAAAAUGAUUUGAAUCUAAGAUAUUGUUAUAAGGACAAUGAAUUAACUUUAAUUCCUAGCGUCUCCUUGCCUUCCAAUGCAGUAUCCCUAGACUUCAAAAGGCGUUUUGGUUCUUCUGAUAAGUUAAGCUAUCAUUUUAACUUCGACACUGAUGAAUGGAAUGCUGUUUAUAAGCAUACAAUUGGUAAAAAUUACAAAGUGAAAGCUGGUUAUGAUUCAGAGGUGCGAGUUGGAUGGGCUUCCAUCUGGGCUGGGCAAGAAGAGGGCAAAGCAAAGACUGCACCUAUGAAGAUGAAGGUUCAGCUUAUGCUUCAGGUGCCCCAGGAUAAUAUUCGCAAUCCUUCUUUACUAUUUCGAGUGAAGAAAAGGUGGGAUCUGUAG